CAGAUGCCAGAUGGUUCCGCUUCUACAGUGUGAACCCGCGCUGAACACUCUCUGAACCAGGACUCACCUGAAGUAUCUGAUCCUAGCUGCUCCGUUGGGCCUUGCACCUGGGUGCGUCACGCACUCAGCUGCUGCCUGUCUGCCCUCAGUCACCUGCUGGAACUUCCCCAUCUGGAAAACCAUCACAUCACACCAACUGUUGGACCCCCAUGUACUCUCCUCUGCAUACCUCUACCCGCAGACCGUAAGUCACCAUCAGGUUACUCUGUCAUUCCCUUCAUUACUUCCCUCUUUAACCUCUCGCCCUUUGCAGUUCCUCCGCUGGCCCGGUUCCUCCCUGCUGUCGCAGAUCGACGCCCCUCCACACGCUCUCCAGCACAUUCUAUUGCUAAAUAAAUCUGUUAAAACUG